rnacentral:rRNA from 1 species
AGAGUUUGAUCCUGGCUCAGGAUGAACGCUGGCGGCGUGCCUAAUACAUGCAAGUCGAACGCGAGCACUUGUGCUCGAGUGGCGAACGGGUGAGUAAUACAUAAGUAACCUGCCCUAGACAGGGGGAUAACUAUUGGAAACGAUAGCUAAGACCGCAUAGGUACGGACACUGCAUGGUGACCGUAUUAAAAGUGCCUCAAAGCACUGGUAGAGGAUGGACUUAUGGCGCAUUAGCUGGUUGGCGGGGUAACGGCCCACCAAGGCGACGAUGCGUAGCCGACCUGAGAGGGUGACCGGCCACACUGGGACUGAGACACGGCCCAGACUCCUACGGGAGGCAGCAGUAGGGAAUUUUCGGCAAUGGGGGAAACCCUGACCGAGCAACGCCGCGUGAGUGAAGAAGGUUUUCGGAUCGUAAAGCUCUGUUGUAAGUCAAGAACGAGUGUGAGAGUGGAAAGUUCACACUGUGACGGUAGCUUACCAGAAAGGGACGGCUAACUACGUGCCAGCAGCCGCGGUAAUACGUAGGUCCCGAGCGUUGUCCGGAUUUAUUGGGCGUAAAGCGAGCGCAGGCGGUUUGAUAAGUCUGAAGUUAAAGGCUGUGGCUCAACCAUAGUUCGCUUUGGAAACUGUCAAACUUGAGUGCAGAAGGGGAGAGUGGAAUUCCAUGUGUAGCGGUGAAAUGCGUAGAUAUAUGGAGGAACACCGGUGGCGAAAGCGGCUCUCUGGUCUGUAACUGACGCUGAGGCUCGAAAGCGUGGGGAGCGAACAGGAUUAGAUACCCUGGUAGUCCACGCCGUAAACGAUGAGUGCUAGGUGUUGGAUCCUUUCCGGGAUUCAGUGCCGCAGCUAACGCAUUAAGCACUCCGCCUGGGGAGUACGACCGCAAGGUUGAAACUCAAAGGAAUUGACGGGGGCCCGCACAAGCGGGGGAAUUUAGAAGGUAC